rnacentral:snoRNA from 1 species
GUCGACAAUACUUCAAAGAAUCAUUUCUAUAGUUAUUGUCCUCUUCUAGGUUCUCAAAAAGAGCCAGAAACCCCACCCGGGUUGAUGACUUUAUAUCCUCGACUUGCCCGUUUUUACGAAAACUUAGCUGCGCUUUUGCCGGCGUGCUUUGGGGUCUUCACGGAUCCCGUUACCCUCGCUCCUGCCUGUAAAGGCAGCGGACCAGGAAGUGCAUUUGUCUCUUCGGAUUCAAAUGUCUUCUAGGACUGUAUUUUAUAGAGGGUGGUGAUGAGUUAUACCCUGGACUGGAGGUCUGCUUCUCUUUACGAGGGCUCUCUGCUAGGGUGGGUGUCGAUGGACGUCUGACCGGC